rnacentral:rRNA from 1 species
GCAUAUCAAUAAGCGGAGGAAAAGAAACUAACAAGGAUUCCCCUAGUAACGGCGAGUGAAGAGGGAAGAGCCCAAGUUUGGAAGCUGGCAUUUGUAUUCAGAUGUCUGCAUUGUAAACUCAAGAAGUGUUUUCUGUGCUGGAUCAAAUUCAAGUCCCUUGGAAUAGGGCAUCAUAGAGGGUGAAAGUCCCGUGCUUGAUUUGAAACCCCCAGGGCUUUGUGAUACACUUUCCAAGAGUCGAGUUGUUUGGGAAUGCAGCUCAAAAUGGGUGGUAAAUGCCAUCUAAGGCUAAAUAUUGAGGAGAGACCGAUAGUGAACAAGUACCGUGAGGGAAAGAUGAAAAGAACUUUGGAAAGAGAGUUAAACAGUACGUGAAAUUGCCGGAAGGGAAGGGUAGGAAGUCAGACAUGCCUUUGCAGAUUCAGCCUUGUGCUUUAUUGGACUUGGUGCAUUUUUGUAUUGGCUUGCUAGCAUUGGUUUGUAUUGACAGAUAUAGGCUUAGGGAAUGUGGCUUAGCUUUCGGGCAAAGUGUUAUAGCCCUUUGCUGAGUAUGACAAUAUAGACCAAGGAUUGCAGCGCACCCACUUUAGGGCGGGCCUUUUGGGGCACCUUUGCGCUUAGGAUGCUGGCUUAAUGGCUUUCUGCCACCCGUCUUGAAACACGGACCAAGGAGUCUAACAUGU